rnacentral:tRNA from 1 species
GCCGAAGUAGCUCAGCGGUAGAGCAACGGUUUCGUAAACCGUAGGCCACGGGUUCAAAUCCCGUCUUCGGCU